rnacentral:rRNA from 1 species
AGCGAACGCCGGCGGCAGGCUUAACACAUGCAAGUCGAGCGGGCGUAGCAAUACGUCAGCGGCAGACGGGUGAGUAACGCGUGGGAACGUACCUUUUGGUUCGGAACAACACAGGGAAACUUGUGCUAAUACCGGAUAAGCCCUUACGGGGAAAGAUUUAUCGCCGAAAGAUCGGCCCGCGUCUGAUUAGCUAGUUGGUGUGGUAACGGCGCACCAAGGCGACGAUCAGUAGCUGGUCGAGAGGAUGAUCAGCCACAUUGGGACUGAGACACGGCCCAAACUCCUACGGGAGGCAGCAGUGGGGAAUAUUGGACAAUGGGCGCAAGCCUGAUCCAGCAAUGCCGCGUGGAUGAAGAAGGUUUUCGGAUUGUAAAGUCCUUUCGGCGGGGACGAUGAUGACGGUACCCGCAGAAGAAGCCCCGCUAACUUCGUGCCAGCAGCCGCGGUAAG